rnacentral:rRNA from 1 species
UACGGAGGGUGCGAGCGUUGUCCGGAAUCACUGGGCGUAAAGGGCGCGUAGGCGGUCUGCUAAGCGUGCGGUGAAAGCCUGGGGCUCAACCCCAGGUCUGCCGUGCGAACUGGUGGACUAGAGCACUGUAGGGGCAGGUGGAAUUUCGGGUGUAGCGGUGGAAUGCGUAGAGAUCCGAAAGAACACCGGUGGCGAAGGCGGCCUGCUGGGCAGUUGCUGACGCUGAGGCGCGACAGCGUGGGGAGCAAACAGG